GUAGGUGGCAAGCGUUGUCGGGAAUUAUUGGGCGUAAAGCGCGCGCAGGCGGUUCUUUAAGUCUGAUGUGAAAGCCCACGGCUCAACCGUGGAGGGUCAUUGGAAACUGGAGAACUUGAGUACAGAAGAGGAAAGCGGAAUUCCACGUGUAGCGGUGAAAUGCGUAGAGAUGUGGAGGAACACCAGUGGCGAAGGCGGCUUUCUGGUCUGUAACUGACGCUGAGGCGCGAAAGCGUGGGGAGCAAACAGGGAUUAGAUACCCUGGUAGUCCACGCCGUAAACGAUGAGUGCUAAGUGUUAGGGGGUUUCCGCCCCCUUAGUGCUGCAGCUAACGCAUUAAGCACUCCGCCUGGGGAGUACGGCCGCAAGGCUG
rnacentral:rRNA from 1 species